UACGGGGGGGUAAGCGUUGUUCGGAAUUACUGGGCGUAAAGGGCUCGUAGGCGGCCAACUAAGUCAUACGUGAAAUCCCUCAGCUUAACUGGGGAACUGCGUGUGAUACUGGAUGGCUUGGAUUUGGGAGAGGGAUGCGGAAUUCCUGGUGUAGCGGUGAAAUGCGUAGAUAUCAGGAAGAACACCGGUGGCGAAAGCGCUCUGCUAGGCCGCAACUGACACUGAGGGACGAAAGCUAGGGGAGCGAAUGGG
rnacentral:rRNA from 1 species